rnacentral:tRNA from 1 species
GAGAGUAUAGCUCAGUGGUAGAGUGUGUGCUUAGCAUACACGAGAUCUUGGGUUCAAUCCCCAGUACCUCCA